UACGUAGGGAGCGAGCGUUGUCCGGAAUCAUUGGGCGUAAAGAGCAUGUAGGUGGAUCAAUUAGUCUGCUGUGAAAGUCAAAGGCUCAACCUUUGAAAGCCGGUGGAUACUGUUGAUCUAGAGUACGGAAGAGGCGAGUGGAAUUCCUGGUGUAGCGGUGGAAUGCGCAGAUAUCAGGAGGAACACCGGUGGCGAAGGCGGCAUCCUGGACCGGUAUUGACGCUGAGGCGCGAAAGCCAGGGGAGCAAACGGG
rnacentral:rRNA from 1 species